AUUAAAACAGACGGUUGGCUGCGUUCUGAAAUAGAGUGAACACUGGAGGAAGGCAAAUAAAAUCCAAAGAGCAUCUCCCAGCCACGUUUUAAGUGAUUAUUUGAUUAUAAAAGGCUGAAACCGUUUUGUCAACAUGGAGGAGGAUUCAACAUAUAAUAAAGUUGAAAUUGUAAUUGGCUGUCAUAUAGAAGAUGCUGUAACUUUUUGGGCACAGACCAUUAAUAAAGCUAAGGAAAUUUUGAAGAUUAGUUCUGGUCUGGCUGAAAUCUGUCCUCAUGCUAUCCCAGUUUUUGGCAAUCCUGAUUUUAAUAAGAUAUAUGGAGGUUGCUUUUCUGAAGAUAAAUGCUGGUACAGAUGUAAAAUACUCCAAGUUAUCAAUGAUGAAAAAUGUCAAGUAUUAUACAUUGACUAUGGGAACUCUGAGGCCCUCAGAAGAUCAGAAAUAGUUGAGAUCCCUGAAAACUUGCAGUUUCCUGGUGUGGCAAAAAAAUAUAAAUUGUGGGGAUUGCAGAUAUCAGCUAAUAUAGAUUUAAAUCAAUUUGAUCGGGGGAAGAUAUUUCUGAAUAGUUUGAUAUUUGAAAAAGAAAUGAAGAUAACACAUAAAAGUGUGCAUCGGGAUGGAACCAUUGUUGCCCAUGCAGAAUGUGGUUUACUGGAUGUUGGGGAAGAGAUGGUUAAGAAAGGCUUUGUUGAACUUCGCAAAUCUCCCAUAAAAAAUAAAUUCAUGGACACAAAAAUGGAUUUCUUUUUGUAUAAGAAUGCCAAAACAUCAACUCCAAGAUCGGCUAUAAAUGCCUUAGCAAGUACUAGAGUGACAGGAAGUUUUGGUGAUAGGUUUCUGAGUGAAAGAAAUGAGAAUAAUUCUAUAGAUCGUAUUUCUUCGAACCAAAGGAUGCCAGAUGUUACCCUGGAAAAGGUAAGAGAGGAUCAGAGGUUAGUUGAAGAGAUUAAGAAACUAAAAGAAGAAAAUGGGACUUUCAAAAAAGAAAACUCUGUUCUUUCCCAUCGGUGUGAAAUACUGGAAUCGGCACUACAGAAACUGGCAUCUGAUAUGGAGAAAGAGAAGAAAGCUUCCAAGGAAAGCCUUGAUUGUAUGGAAAAUAGGCUGCUCACUUAUGUAGGAACUACAAUGAGAAAAUUGGCUAUCAGCUUCGAAAAAUUGAAAGAAAUGAGGCAAAAUCAUGCAGCAGCUCAUUUGGGAGAAGAUCUUUUAGAAACCGCAAAUAGAGUUACCAAAGAGCAGCUUGUAGUCCCUCAGUCCAUGGAAACACUGGAAAAGUUAUGGGCAGAUUAUAAUAACUACCAGCAAGAAAUACGCCACUGCAAAGAUGUGGAUGAAAUACAAAGCUUGAUUCUCCAGAGGAAUGAAUUGCAACAUAAAUUGUACAAAGCUGUAGAAGAAUUCAUUGUGGAAGUGGAUAAUCUGCCUCUGUCUGAGCGCUUAGAAACGUUGAAGAAGUUGCAAGGAUCUUUGGAGGUUGCAUAUGGGCAGAUUAAUGAAGCAGAGAAUUCAGAAGUGUUUGAAGAGUUCUUUGAAUGGAAGAAUGCUAGGUUGGAGAAAUUCAGUCGGGUUAGGAAUGCUACAGAUGCUUCCUUACAAAAUCUUGAAUUAAGUUUCAGCAAGAUAAUUCAGUUUUUUGACAUAGAGUCAACAAUAUUAAUGAAAUCCGAGGGUGUAGAUUUCAAUGUAGAUGAAGUUCUUAAGAAGGUCGAGCAUGAUAUUUCACAAGAAUUUGACAUGUUUCUAACAGAGCUAGAUGAAAAAGACAAAAAAAUAAUGUUAAAUAUGUAUAGUGUGGUUAUGUGGAAGAUCCUUCAAGAACAAGAUCUCAUAAAUACAGUGAAUCAAAAAUAUCUUGAAAGUUGUAAGUUCAAACACCAGAUUGUGGAGUGGCUAGAUAUAACUCCUAAUACUGAUGAUUUGUUACUGAUAAAGAAGAGAAUGAAAAACAUGAAGGCUCAGCUGAGGUGGAAAUUAGUAGAAAAAAACAACUUGGAAGAAACUGAUAAUUACAGCAAGUCUGAAAUGGUGGAAAUAAAAGAAAAAAUCAGUGUGCUACAGGAUAAUAUAUUUCAAGAAAUAUAUAAGGAACAAGAAGAAUAUGAAAAGCUUAUUCAUCUAGUUCAAAAAGUUUUCCCUGAGCUGCCAUUCCUCCAUCCUGAAGCAGAAAUAUUAAAGUAUAUGGGCUCAGGAGGUCUGAUUGUCAGUUUAGAACGUGAUCUCUUAAAUGCUGAGCCAAUGAAGGAAUUGGGCAUAAAACAUCCUGUGAUGUGCUCCACGGUUCAAGGUCAAAAGGUUCUCCUGAAGGGAUAUAUUGUGGAUAUCAAUAUUGAAACUCAAAUAAUAGAAAGGGCAGUAAAAUAUCAUAAAGUUUGGAAAGAAUUAAGGGAGAAAUCUUGUUUAAUGCAAACAAUGUUCCUGCUUUUAUGCAAGUCUGAUCCUAUGGUAUAUCUAAUGAUUCCAUACUAUGCUGGAGCAAACCUGGGGACACUGCAGUUGAUGGCACCUUUAAGUGUACCAGAAACAUUAAAAGUAAUGAAAGGAGUGGCAUGUGGUCUGUGUGUGCUACACAAAGCUGAUAUAAUUCAUGGAUCGUUGCAUAAAAACAAUGUCUUUGCAUUGAACCGAGAACAAGGAAUAGUUGGAGAUUUUGAUUUCACCAAAUCUGAGAGCAAGCGUGCUUUGUCAGGUUCUAUGACUUUGAAUGGCUUGAGCUUAAUUUCCCCUGAGCUAAGAAAGGGUCAGCCACCUUCUCCAGCUUCAGAUAUGUAUGCUUUUGGUUGUCUGCUUUACUGGCUACUUAUCGGAAAGCAAGAAAUAAAAACAAAUAGAGAUGGAAUUCCUCAAAUUGAUGGCCUUGCUACGGAUGAUAAAGUUAAAUCUCUACUUUCAAGACUCCUUUGUUAUGAUAAUCAGAUGACUGCAGAGCAGGUGUUGAAUGCCGACUGCCUCUUGUCACCUGACGUGAUUUCAGUUCCACUGGAAAGUGAAGGCACUGAAUAUGUCCCUGGAGAACAGACAUCAGAAAACGAUGUGUGUGAUGAAAGGCUGGACAACAAGAGUGAACAAGAGUACCCAUAAAUUAAUAUCUGAUAAGGCUGCAACAGCUUCAUCUGAUAAAGUUGGUCAAGGACCCUUCCAGCCACAGGUUCCAUUGCUGCUUUAGUAGGAGCCGCAAAUCCAAGAAGUCUGCCAAGUCAUGGACCUGCUCCUUCAGGAAUAAGUCAACCCUAUCCACACUCAACUGGGACAAGUAAUUACAAAUCAGAACAUUGUUGAGAACUUUCCCUAAUAUGAAUGGCAACAAUAUGAAUGGCAUAAAAAAUGAAUUUGCUGUCAUGUAGUGAUCACCAGAAUAGUUUUCAUAGCUCCUGUUUUUGUCAGCCAGCCAUUGAUAAAAUGUCCCAAGUCAAAAAGUAUCCAGUUUCUUUCUUUUCCUUAAUUGU